AUAGAUGUCGUUCUUUUACCGCCUCUUAACUGUUACUCUUGAUUAAGAUUUUUUUUCAUCAACAAUCAAGAACCUUAAUCAUUUUGAUCUGGUCAUCAUAGUUUCGCUGAAUUUUAAUUUGGACUUGUGUAAUUAAAUCUCGCAAAGGUAUGUUUCCAUUUUGUCAAUUCUUAUGGUUGGAGGAGAUUUUGUAUUCGGCUUGAGAUCGGUUAUUUUGCUGUAUCACCAUUUCAUCUUGAUCAUGUGUUUCCAACAUCAAUUGACAUUCACUCUUCAAGCUUAGGCUUUAAUUACUAUCUCAUUGAGACUGAAUUGCUUUUGAUUGAAUUGAUUCUUUGAUUCUUUUAAUCCAACAUCUUCAACUUAAUGGUCACUAUUAUUGUUUACAAUUGAUCUAUUCUGUGAUGAUCAAACUAACUCUUCAUCUUUUUCCCCUUGAUAGUGAAUAUUUAUCAUCUGUGUCUUUAGAAUCUACUUUUCAUCAGCACUUUAUUUUUUUCUAUCUCUAUCUCAUCUUAAUGAUUACAGUUUUUCAUCAUGACAUUAUCUUAGUUAAAUCAAUUAAAAAUGAAUAAAUGAUUAGUUUAAUUG